GACGAACGCUGGCGGCGUGCCUAAUACAUGCAAGUAGAACGCUGAAGAGAGGAGCUUGCUCUUCUUGGAUGAGUUGCGAACGGGUGAGUAACGCGUAGGUAACCUGCCUUGUAGCGGGGGAUAACUAUUGGAAACGAUAGCUAAUACCGCAUAACAAUGGAUGACCCAUGUCAUUUAUUUGAAAGGGGCAAUUGCUCCACUACAAGAUGGACCUGCGUUGUAUUAGCUAGUAGGUGAGGUAAUGGCUCACCUAGGCGACGAUACAUAGCCGACCUGAGAGGGUGAUCGGCCACACUGGGACGGAGACACGGCCCAGACUCCUACGGGAGGCAGCAGUAGGGAAUCUUCGGCAAUGGGGGCAACCCUGACCGAGCAACGCCGCGUGAGUGAAGAAGGUUUUCGGAUCGUAAAGCUCUGUUGUAAGUCAAGAACGGGUGUGAGAGUGGAAAGUUCACACUGUGACGGUAGCUUACCAGAAAGGGACGGCUAACUACGUG
rnacentral:rRNA from 1 species